rnacentral:rRNA from 1 species
UACGGGGGGGGCAAGCGUUGUUCGGAAUUACUGGGCGUAAAGGGCUCGUAGGUGGCCAACUAAGUCAGACGUGAAAUCCCUCGGCUUAACCGGGGAACUGCGUCUGAUACUGGAUGGCUUGGAUUCGGGAGAGGAAUGCGGAAUUCCAGGUGUAGCGGUGAAAUGCGUAGAUAUCUGGAGGAACACCGGUGGCGAAGGCGGCAUUCUGGACCGACAUUGACGCUGAGGAGCGAAAGCCAGGGGAGCAAACGGG